AACAACGUGGGUUUCUUGUGUUGCAUACCUUGUGUAGGUUUUGAUCUGGCUUAUCAGACUUCUUUUCAUCUCUUGUCAUGCUACGACACCUGAUGAACCAUAGACGUGUCUCUCUGAACCAUAUCAUUAACCGGUGUGUUGAUGUAGUGGAGCAUUGAGACUUGCCUGGUCUCUUUGAUGUAGUACCUGAUGUGGGCAUGGGUCUUAUGGGAUCCUUGUUAUGUCCCUGUUUAGUGUUUCCGCAUAGUAAGUUGACUGCUUGACACGCGUUGGCUAGUACAUCGUGUCAGGCAUUGUCUACGAGGAAAGUUACCUGGU
rnacentral:misc_RNA from 1 species